rnacentral:rRNA from 1 species
GAUGGACGCUGGCGGCGUGCCUAAUACAUGCAAGUCGAGCGAAUGGAUUAAGAGCUUGCUCUUAUGAAGUUAGCGGCGGACGGGUGAGUAACACGUGGGUAACCUGCCCAUAAGACUGGGAUAACUCCGGGAGACCGGGGCUAAUACCGGAUAACAUUUUGAACCGCAUGGUUCGAAAUUGAAAGGCGGCUUCGGCUGUCACUUAUGGAUGGACCCGCGUCGCAUUAGCUAGUUGGUGAGGUAACGGCUCACCAAGGCAACGAGGCGUAGCCGACCUGAGAGGGUGAUCGGCCACACUGGGACUGAGACACGGCCCAGACUCCUACGGGAGGCAGCAGUAGGGAAUCUUCCGCAAUGGACGAAAGUCUGACGGAGCAACGCCGCGUGAGUGAUGAAGGCUUUCGGGUCGUAAAACUCUGUUGUUAGGGAAGAACAAGUGCUAGUUGAACAAGCUGGCACCUUGACGGUACCUAACCAGAAAGCCACGGCUAACUACGUGCCAGCCGCCGCAGUAA